GGGUGAAUGAUUAGACCUUAUACUGGUUUGAAGAGGGAUCAUGACUUAAAAAUUAUGCUCAAUAGGAUGACCUUGAGGCCC
ensembl:snoRNA SNORD115 Small nucleolar RNA SNORD115